GUGAUGUUCCAGACGCACAGGCCAUUGGCAGGGAGAAGCUAGGGGUGUGGGGCAGGACCUCUGCCCCUGUCAUGGCUUCAGAUCAGAGGAAGUAGCUGCUUUCUCCGGCCAUGUGCAUCUGUGACUGCUGUACCCUGUGUGAUCCUGGGCAGAGAUGUGAGGCGGCCGUCUUGGGUCUGACGCCCAGGCUGUUAUCCACAUUCAGCCUUCUGCACUGGCCCAGACAGAGAAGCAGAUCAGGGGCUUUGCAGGUAUGGCAAAGAAAAGAAAGGCAGGGACUGUGGAGGCCCAGAGGAGGCCUGUGUCAUCCCUGCCACCAGAGGCCGCACAUCUAGCUCCUCUGCUUGGGCCGCACUAGCCUCUGCACAAAGAAGGCAAUGCAGCCCCACCUCUCCUACAGAGCGAAGCUUGCACUAGCUUUUAGCCACCUGCUGGUGAGCCUGGCCCAACCUUCAGGGAGUGAAAUUCUUGGGCAUUCGUGGUAAACCAGGCCCACUGAGGGUGCCAAGGUCCGGUGUUAAAUCGGCCCCCUCUCUUCAGAAAAAAAGGGUGGACGCUGUGAUGCCUCGGCCAGGAAGGCACAGAGUCAGCGCUGUCUCAGUCUUACGUCUUCCCCCACAAAGAGUAGCCCAUGGCUCUGGCCACCCCACCAGAAAAGAACAGAGACCUUGGGAGACCACAUGAUGCCCCUGCCUUCAUCCCUUGAUCAUGUCCAGGCCCCGUGCUGGCGCUGGAAGUUCCAGCCACAGUGAGGUCCCUUCUGUCGACUUCAUCAACAGAAGAUAAGAAAAUGUAACAAAAACUUACGUAGCAUGUGCUGUGUGUCAGGCUCUGUUCAAGGCUCAAGGAUGCAGGAUGGCAAAUAAGGUCCCUCCCCACUCCCACGUCCAGUGCUUACAUAUUAAUCAGAAGAGAGAAAUACAGGAGCAAAAAAGGGUUAUUUCAGAUCAUCGUAAUUGCUAUGAAAAAAAAAAUAAGCAAUAUGAGAACAUAGAGGUAAUUUAGAGAAGGUGGAUCAGCUCAAAGGAGGUGGCAUUUCAUUGACAGCGAGGAGCCUGACCACAUGAAGGUCAGGCAGGAGGCCGUUCUUGGCAGAGAGAAGAGCAAUGGAGAAACAGCAUGGACCUUUUGUAGAAAGAAAGACACUCGGCCCCUGAGAGAGGACGGCAGUUCAAGAGUCACAGAAGAGGAGGACAAACUCAGCCUCCAUCUCUUGCUCCUCAACCAAGUGCUGUCAGGAGACAGCUGGGGACACCACUCCUCCCCCAUUGCCUCUGCCAAACUGAUCCCUCUCUUUCUCCAGGUUUUCAGUCCCUGCCCCUAACCCCUGGGGUUGGAUUAGGUCAGUAUUUCCUGUGUCUUCUGUCAUACCCUUCCCAAUUAAAUGAGGUUUCCCAUUUCCAGGAGUCUCCUCAACUACGCUGCUCCUGAGUCUUCUCUCAGGAUCUAGGGAGGAUUGGUCCAGGGACACUCUUCCCAGGGAUACAAAAGCCAAUGGAUAGCCAGGCAAAGUGGCACACCCCCACACUUGGGAAGUGGCGCAAGGGAAUAGUGAGUUCUAGGCCAGCCUGGAGUACACACAGAGACCCUGUCUCAAAACAAGAAAAGACAAAUAUAUAAAAUGACUCCAUAUUCACAUCCAACCUAAGUACAUCUUCUUGAACACUCGGCUAAAUCACCUGCAGCAUGUUUAGACUACCUAACCCAAUGUGAAUGCUCUGUAGAUGUUCUGUUGUGUUGUUUAGGAACAACAACAACAAGGAGAAUAUCCGUAUGUGUUCAGUAGAUACCUGUUUUUAUAUAGUAUUUUGCUGUCCAUGGUUGAUUGAAUCUGAGGAUUGAAACUCAUGCAUAUGAAGCACCCACUGUAUUUUCCUGAAAUCCUCUCACUUAAUAAACUUCACUUCAUCCUAAGCAAUCA